rnacentral:lncRNA from 1 species
AAUGAGAAUCAAGAGGUCUUUCAAAGGUUGUAAUGUGGCUUAGGUUACAAGAAAGGAUAUGAUUAAGAGAAUUUACAAAGUUGCCUAUCCUAAGGGAGCAUUCCAAAAUAUUCAACUCUACACAAUUUCCAUUUCUUUGAUCCCUAUCUUUUUCUUUUUCUUUUUCUUUCCACAUCCACACAACCAUGAGCAUUUCUUUGUUUUUCUUUUCUUUUCUUUUUCGUUGCUCUAUGGUUUCAAGGGUGAUUUCUUUUUCUUGUUUCUUUUCAAAUUUUCACCAUUUCAUAAGAAACUCACUUUUCCAAGUUUCUAAUCACUUCUCAUUUUACUCUCCCCAAUACAAAUACCAAAUCAUGUGAAAAAUGAGAAUCAAGAGGUCUUUCAAAGGUUGUAAUGUGGCUUAGGUUACAAGAAAGGAUAUGAUUAAGAGAAUUUACAAAGUUGCCUAUCCUAAGGGAGCAUUCCCCAACAUUCAACUCUACACAAUUUCCCUUUCUUUGAUCCCUAUUUUUUCUUUUUCUUUUUACAUCCACACAACCAUGAGCAUUUCUUUGCCUUCUUUUUUUUUUCUUUUUUUUUUCUUUGCUCUAUGGUUUCAAGGGUGGUUUCUUUUUCUUGUUUCUUUUCAUAAUUUCACCCUUUUAUAAAAACUCACUUUUCCAAGUUUCUAAUCAACUUUUCACUUUUCUCUCCCCAACUUUAGAUUCCAAAACCAAAUUUAUUCAAUAAUGCUCCCUACUUAGAAAU